AAGUAGUGAACUGAGCAGAGAUUGUUGCUCCGGUCCAGCCCCCUUCCUCUGGAUAGCAGUCCUGCAGUUGCAGCCUCUAACUCUUUGUGUUGGUUCACAUUUCGUCUUCAAAUGUUUUAUCCGGUUCGAGGUAUUGAAACUGGCCGAUUUAACUCCAUCUCUCCAAACUUUUUGAUUGUACUCGAUGGAGAUUAUAAACUCCAUCGUAGUUUGUUUUUCCUACAUGUGAAAAAGCUGCCGCGCCAUUGGUGAGAGCGGCUAUUGGCCCGCUCUUAUUGGUCUGGAGCAGGCCGAUAGCGAUAGCUGCUCGCCAUGCAAAGUGAUCACGUGUCAUCACAAAACACAGAGUGCAGAGACUUUCAGGAGAAAAAAAGCUGCCUUCAGUGUUGGUAUCGGUGCCCUGUUUGUUGGUACUCGCCGAUAACGCCUUUUCGGGCCGAAUCGCCCCCGCGCCGAUACUGGCAUCGGUAUCGGUGCAUCAAUAAUAUUUACACCCUGUAAAAAUCCAUACGAGACACACUGGACUAUAAGCCGCAGGAUUCAAAAUGAGGGGGAAAAAAUGAUCGGCUUGUAGUCCGAAAACAACGGUGUUUAUAAAUGGCAGCGAGUGAGUUAAUUUAGUUAGAUUUCGUCUAACUGGCAUGUCGGUAUCAUAACAUCUGGAAAAUGCAGUGUGCCAACAAAGCAGGUUAUUCAAGACUAUGUGAGAUCUUUGUUGGCAGACAGUUUGAGGAAGCUAGUCAUGAAAGUGCUGGCUUCCGUUGACACGGCGCUUCUUUUUGCAUAUUGCUGCAUUUCCUGGAAACUUUUGAUAUGUGUCUGUCAUGAGAGCGCAAAGGCUUUUCUCCGGCUGAGACUCGCUUAACACGGGCGGAAAAGGAUAAACGACAACAACAGCUUUCGAUCGAGUGUGUGGACAAUCGGUCCGGGUGUUCCGCCGUUAUCGUUGACGGUGACAAAACCUUUCAUUUGACGGCGACUCCAAAAGCCAGCCCUGAUAUCAUCAACAACAGCUCCGUCGUCCGCUUUGAAGGCCCUCCCCCAACGGACGAUAGGCCCGACCUCCACAGCCGACGCAGCGUGGAAGACGAGAACUUCGAGGAAGAAACACGCAACGAUGGGAAAACACUUUGUUGUUGUUUUUGUUGAACGCUAGCAUUAUAUUUAUACGGAAUACAUAGUCAUUUCAAGCUAAAAAUAACAACACAUAUCGUUAUGUUAUAAUUGAAACACACUAUUCCUAGGGCAUUAAUAUUCAGAAGAAGACUGCACAUUUUUAAAUAAAGUAUGUGAGAGACCAAA